UGAGCUGGACCUGAUGUGAACUAGACUAAAGUGAGCUGGACCUCAGGUGAACUGGAACUAAAGUUAACUAAACCUGAUGUUACUGCACCUGCAAGUAAAGUAGACCUAAAGGACUAUCUGGAAGUUUCAAGGACCAACAACACAUCUCGGUAUGACAAGCUAAGACUCGACUAUACAAACUGAUGAAACACCUCUGACCUGUGGGACAGGCUCAUAUGUGAUGCCAUCAACAGCAACUGAUGAAACACCUCUGACCUGUGGGAGGUUCAGGUUUCACUUCAUCAGAACCCAACCAUAAAGAGAGUCACCUAUCAACUGGAAUCAACUGAAUCUGACCAUCUUUCCCCGACCUUUAGGACGGGGUCAGAAGUCUAUUCUGGGAAGGAUGUUUUUGGACCAGCAUGCUUGUUUGUCCAGUGGUUCCAGGAGUCAAGAUCCUCUUGGGGGAGAACCCUGGCCCUCGGACCUGGCAUCAGCCAGGUUCAGGGACUCUCCAUUUUUUUUUCUUAUUGUUGCCCUCCUCCUUCAUCAACUGGAAUGGACAUUGUCAAGUCCAGCAUAAACAAAUGGAAAUGAAAUUGUAGAAGAAAAAUGGAAGAUUUUAAUGGUUUAUUAUGAGAAUACUGGACUGUAUUGAUGUAAUGUCUGUAUGUAUUGUCUCUUUUCAUGAGUCAUCUAUACAAUAGUCACUUACCAAUGUAAUUUGAAGAAUCAUCAACUGCAUUUGCCCCCUUUCCCCUACCCCUUUAGAACGGGGGUCAGAAGUCUGUUCUGGGAAAUGCCUUACUCUCGGAAUA